CUUUGGAGUGACCUAAUUGUGGCCUUGCAGGACCUGAAGGGAGCCCACAAGAAAGACGGGCAAGACUAUUUGCAAGAGCUGGAGUGAGGGGACAAGGGAGAAUGGGUUCGAGUUGAAAGUAGGUUUAGAUUAGAUAUCAGGAGAAUCUUUUUUUCACUAUGAGGGUGUUGAUGCCCUGGCACAGGAUGCCCAGAGAAGCUGUGGCUGCCCCUGGAUCCCUGGAAGGGUCCAAGGCCGGGCUGGAUGGGGCUCGGAGCAUCCUGGUCUAGAGGAAGGUGUCCUUGCCGAUGCCCUGGCACAGGAUGCCCAGAGAAGCUGUGGCUGCCCCUGGAUCCCUGGAAGGGUCCAAGGCCGGGCUGGAUGGGGCUCGGAGCAUCCUGGUCUAGAGAAAGGUGUCCUCGCCCACGGCAGGGGGCUGGAACGAGACUACUACAUUCGAGAUCCCUUCCAAGCCAUACCAUUCCAUGAUUCCAUGAACAGGCUCCCGGAGCACCGGGAUCCGGGAUCCGGCGUGGAGCCGGGCGGGGAGCGGCGGCUUGGGAAGAGACGCAGUGACCGGAAAGGGGGAUGCAGUGACCGGGGAGGGGAUGCAGUGACCGGGGAGGGGACGCGGUGUCCGGUCCCGCCCCGCUGCCGGCAGCUCCCCCCCCCCCCCCCCCCGAGCCGCCACUGCGCCGGUGCCGCUGCCGCGGGCUCCGCGCCGGGGAUGCUCGGAGGAUGCGCGGAUGAUGCGCGGAGGAUGCGCCGGGGAUGCUCGGAGGAUGCGCGGAGGAUGCUCGGAGGAUGCGCCUGGGAUGCUCGGCGGGCUCCGCGCCGGGGAUGCUCGGAGGAUGCGCGGAUGAUGCGCGGAGGAUGCGCCGGGGAUGCUCGGAGGAUGCGCGGGGGACCCGCAGCGCCCAGCCCACGCCGUGGUUUCCACAUCCUGCUGAUACAGGAAAUAGGUAGCCGUGGUUAUGGAGUUCUCUUAAGCCAAGCAGUGGCAGCAUCCCUUGGAAAGUUUUUCCGCCCCAAAGGCAUCGGCAGCUCAGCUGGAGGGCUGGAGGGAGGACUGUAAGAAGAGCUGAGAAUGAGAUGGACUUACCAUGAAGGACACAAAGCUCUGAGUGAUGAUGAGCUGCAGAUGAA
rnacentral:lncRNA from 1 species